AUUGAACGCUGGCGGCAGGCCUAACACAUGCAAGUCGAGCGGAUGAAGGGAGCUUGCUCCUGGAUUCAGCGGCGGACGGGUGAGUAAUGCCUAGGAAUCUGCCUGGUAGUGGGGGAUAACGUCCGGAAACGGGCGCUAAUACCGCAUACGUCCUGAGGGAGAAAGUGGGGGAUCUUCGGACCUCACGCUAUCAGAUGAGCCUAGGUCGGAUUAGCUAGUUGGUGGGGUAAAGGCCUACCAAGGCGACGAUCCGUAACUGGUCUGAGAGGAUGAUCGGUCACACUGGAACUGAGACACGGUCCAGACUCCUACGGGAGGCAGCAGUGGGGAAUAUUGGACAAUGGGCGAAAGCCUGAUCCAGCCAUGCCGCGUGUGUGAAGAAGGUCCUCGGAUUGUAAAGCACUUUAAGUUGGGAGGAAGGGCAGUAAGUUAAUACCUUGCUGUUUUGACGUUACCAACAGAAUAAGCACCGGCUAACUUCGUG
rnacentral:rRNA from 1 species